rnacentral:rRNA from 1 species
UACGUAGGGUGCGAGCGUUAAUCGGAAUUACUGGGCGUAAAGGGUGCGCAGGCGGUUAUAUAAGACAGAUGUGAAAUCCCCGGGCUUAACCUGGGAAUGGCAUUUGGGACUGCAAGGCUUGAGUGCGGCAGAGGAGAUUGGAAUUUACGGUGUAGCAGUGAAAUGCGUAGAUAUCGUAAGGAAGACCAGUGGCGAAGGCGAAUCUCUGGACAGUUACUGACACUGAGGCACGAAGGCCAGGGGAGCAAACGGG